CAGUAGCCGCGGUAAAACGGAGGGUGCAAGCGUUAUCCGGAUUCACUGGGUUUAAAGGGUGCGUAGGUGGGCAGGUAAGUCAGUGGUGAAAUCUCCGGGCUUAACCCGGAAACUGCCGUUGAUACUAUCUGUCUUGAAUAUAGUGGAGGUGAGCGGAAUAUGUCAUGUAGCGGUGAAAUGCUUAGAUAUGACAUAGAACACCAAUUGCGAAGGCAGCUCGCUACACUAUCAUUGACACUGAGGCACGAAAGCGUGGGGAUCAAACAGGAUUAGAUACCCCAGUAGUCCCUGUCUCUUAUAC
rnacentral:rRNA from 1 species